rnacentral:rRNA from 1 species
AUUGAACGCUGGCGGCAUGCCUUACACAUGCAAGUCGAACGGUAACAGGUUAAGCUGACGAGUGGCGAACGGGUGAGUAAUGUAUCGGAACGUGCCCAGUCGUGGGGGAUAACUGCUCGAAAGAGCAGCUAAUACCGCAUACGACCUGAGGGUGAAAGCGGGGGAUCGCAAGACCUCGCGCGAUUGGAGCGGCCGAUAUCAGAUUAGGUAGUUGGUGAGGUAAAGGCUCACCAAGCCGACGAUCUGUAGCUGGUCUGAGAGGACGACCAGCCACACUGGGAGUGAGACACGGCCCAGACACAUAGGGGAGGCAGAAGUGGGGAAGUUGAGAAAAGGGGCGCAAGCCUGACCCAGCCAGGCCGGGUGGGGGAAGAAGGCCUGCGGGUUGUAAACCGCUUUUGGCAGGGAAAAAAAGGUUCUGGGUAAUACCUGGGACCCAGGACGGUACCUGAAGAAAAAACAACGGCUAAAUACGG